UAUAUUAUUUCCUCGAUGCUGAAGAGCGAAUUAAUUUCUUGAGGAAAUUUGUUAUUAGAAGUAUCGACAUGGCAAUAUAAGAACGAUGUACAUAAUUGUUAGUAGGACUCGAAUUUUAAAGCAUAAUAAGCAAAUAAAAAAAAUCACACGAUUGUUUUAAAAGAGUAGAAAAGAAGCAUAUUAUAUUUAUUUUUAAAAAAGAAAAAAAACAUUACCAAAAGGCAAAAAUUAACAUGAACUAGUUAUAAAAAUGAAUAAAAAAAAAUUUGAAAAAUUAAUUUAAAUUUAAAAAAGAAUUAUUAAAUACCAUGUAUUUCCUAGAUUUUCAGAAAUGAAACUGACUAUUGUCCGACAGAAUAUUUUUAUAGAAAACGAACUCUCUACAUCCACUGAAGUGAUUAGUGCAAACUUCAUUCAAGAGGUUUUAAAAUACAACACUAAAUCUUAAAUUUUGAAACGAUCGAUAGGUAUCGAUGUUAUAGGCAUACUGAUAGUAUAGGUACUGCAGGCUAUAUUACCUAUAUAUAGAUCGAAAAUCUAUACAUUUAAUAAACAAGCCGAUAACGAAAACAAUAAUAAUCUAAUACCUGCAUUCUGGGUUUUUAUAUUUCUUAUUAAAAUUUUUUUUUAUUACAAUAGCAUAAUAAACAUACAAAAUUCAUAGCUGGAAUAAUUGAAAAAAAAAUAAAAAAGCAAAAAAAGCAUUUACAUAAAAAAGCACAAAUAAAUUGGUUUAUUUUGAUCAGAAUGAUGAGAUUGUGAAACAAAUUUAUGUAUAAAAAUUAGAUUUUUAUCUCCUAAAUAACAAAAGAAGCAUAUGCUUUAAAAUCUGAGCCCUAGUUAUUACUGUCUAAUUGGUUACCUAUAGAAAAUUAUAUUAAAUGUAUUUUUAUCAUAAUUUUAUAAUGAGAUUGAAUGACUUUGGUUGGUCAAUUGCAAACAUUUUGAUAAUUUGAAUAACUAUAUUUUUAUUAUAAAGUGUUACAGAUUUAUAAUGAUAAAAUUCAAGGCUCACAAUUAAUUUCCCCCUGGCUUGGAAAAACUUUGGGAUUGCUUUGGUCAUAAUAUAAUAUCAAAUUUUCAUAAAAAAACCAAAAUAUUAUACUUAAACAAUAUUAUAUUAAUACUUGUAUAAGCACAUAUAUAGUCAGUACAUUACGAGCAUAAUAUAUUAAUACAUUAAACAGUAAUAAUUUAGUAUUAUUUUAAGAAAAUAUCUCUUCAAAAGAAUAGAUGUGGUGAUUAAAUGAUUUAUUAGCAUAUAUUUCAUUCUGGUUCAAAAACUUUAAAUAACAUAAAACACUCGGUUAUGUUGUAGGUAUCUCGUAUCUGUAUUUUAAAGAAUUUAUUGUUUUUAAGUUUAAUUUCCGGAAGAGCAUAUUGAUUGGUGAGAAUAUUUAGAGAGGUCAUCUGAGAUACAUAAAAAAAACAAAAUAUAUUUUAUAAUCACUUAAUUACCUACCUAGUCAAAUUCCAAUACUGUGAGGAACUCUAUAGCAUUACAUAGGCAGACAGAGUAGACAAACCCAUUAAUUAUUGAGGAGCGUGGCUACGCGCAACGCGCCAACGCCACGUGAAUCCAAAGGGAUUGUAUUUUUGGGAAAAUGUUACAGUUACCACACGGAGACAUAAUAUAGCAGUAUAUGUAAGUUCUUACACAAAAAAAAAUAUUCUAGUAUUAUGAGUCAUAUUAUAUUAUUAUGUAAAUUCCUGUAGACAAAUAAUAAAAAUGUAAAAUAUUAUGUAAGUUUCUAUAAACGAUCCAAAACUAUGCUCCUACGUAUAAAUGAAAAAAUCGCGAAAAUAUGUCAAAUUCCCUUCCUAUAUUAUUCAGAUUUAGGACAAAGACCAGACCAAGUGAUUGUAAGAAAAACUAAAAAGUAUAUUUAGAUUAGAUUUAAGUUAAAUAUUUUAUUAUUAUUAUUAAAAACCAGGGAAGUCGUUUUGUUGUACUUAAAGUAAGUAUUCUGAAUACUUCGUCAUUGAGAAGGUCACUGAAAUAAUGGAAGUAUUCAAUUUAAAUUCAAUAAUAAAUCAAUAUAUAUUAUGUAAGUAUACAUACAAUGACAAUUCAUUCUGAACGGAGGCCUAUAUUCCUAAAGAUGUUUUAUUACACAUUAUUAUUAUUUACUAUUAUGUAUAAUAAUUAAUUUUUCUAUUGGUAAAUAAUAAUCUGUCAU